rnacentral:lncRNA from 1 species
UAGAGAGCUAUGGCAUGCAGGCUCAUUGUGGGACUCCUGAACAUCGAUUCUUGGUACUUAAUGUAUUUAAGUGACAACUUGAAAGGUGACAAUAUGGUAUAGAUUUUGGACCAUGAAUCAAAAAGACCUGAGUUUUUCAGGCACUCUUGCUAUUGUCUGGGGGACUCAAAACAAGAUACUUCUCUGUAUUUAUUGUUUGUCCAUUUAGAUAACAUCUGUUUUACCUUCCUCACAGACUUUUUGUACAGACCAAAGCAACAAAUAUUUAUUGCCAUGUACAGCAGAAAAUGAAACAUGCAACAAAAGCACUUUGAAAAAUAUACAAGGAAUUGUUAAGCCUGUCUGAAUUUGGCCCCACUUUCUGACCAGUGCAGUUUUGUACAAGGUGAAGUUAGUGAUCCUGAGAUGCCCUGCGUGAGUGGGCCAGGCUGAGACACAGGUUGUGGUCCAGGGUGGGAACCAAGUAGACUUAGCAUAGUGGGGGCUGUUCUUUCCAGAGAGCUGCCCAAGAAGAGCAGGACUAACAUCUGGAAACUUUCUUCUUCAUUUAAGGGCGGACCUUGAUGACAGGGGGAAAAACUAGGACGUUCCUGUAUUCCAUGGCCAAGGGCAUGUUACCAAUGUCUUGUUUAACCUGCUUUAAACUAAAGCCUAUUGCUUUCCUUUUCUCUGAUCUUCCCCUCUCCUCUGUGUCCAGUGCUCAUAAUUACCUGCCUCCCCUAAAAAAAGGAACACUUGAUGGAUGAUAAGCUCUAGAUGCCAGAUAUGAAGCCUUCAGCAGAAACCACAGUCUCAACAAUCACUCCUGGACCCUGUACAGAGAAAAUCAGACCAUUCCUGCCCAUUUGAGGAUACAUGGUGCGAGGCGCAGAGGCUAGUUCCAUCCCAUUUGUCACCUGGGACCCACCGUUGCUCCCGGGAGCCCUGUUUAGGGUUGAAUGUAAGCGCUUUUCCCUCAUCUGGCCUGGAUACUUUGUGUAAACUAACUCCUCUGUAUAUGAGGUGCUACAUAUUUCUCUGUGGUAUCAACUUCUCUCUUAUUUUGCCCUUGUAAUUGUGCUAGCCUCUUCUACCCACUGCCCCUAGCAAGAUUAGCCCCAAAGUUUUAGUGUUCUGGGAUAGAAACAGGUUGCCUGGAAAAGCACUGCCAGCAGCCAUAUUCCAUAGUCUGUCCAUCACCACCUGGUUCUACGUGGCCCAUAAAAGGCUCUAGUGGGUAGAGAGGGAGGGUUCACUUCAGAGCCCCAAUGUUUUUAACGUUUCAGCUUCUGGUCCUUCUCCUGUGCCAUCCCUCCAGCUCUCAAAUAUGUCUUAACCCAGAGUAAGAGAGACAACUGACACUUCAUUUGUCUUCUCCCUUGCUCCACCUGGAUGGGCCACAGGGGUUGAGGUAGGGUGGAAUAUGAGGCUUUCAUCCUGGGAGCUCACAUACUCAAGAGAGUCAGAAAAGGACAUGAAAUGCUAUCAGGCCCUGUCGUUGACUCAGACUACAUGCUGAGCUCCUGGCAAAGUGGCCAUAUUUCCCUACCCAGGAGCAAUCUGUCCACAGCUUCAAAUUCAUCCUAAAAUUUGGGAAGGGACAAGUAAGGCUCAACCCAACAGCUUUCCUAAUAGCCCAGGCCUUAUUUCACCUGUGCUGAAUCCUAGUAUCUGUCUUUUAAGAGCACAUAAUUCCUAUUCCCAGCUUUGGGGGUGGGGAGUGACGUAACGUAAGGGUAAAUGGGGUUAUGCUGGUCACCACUAAGAGAAGAGUACUUAGACAUGCAUCCCCUGUGGGAGAGAAAUGGGAAACUAGGAGACUUUUAGCUACAAGAUAAACCUCGAGGAAACCUUAGUGCAGGCUGCCUCUCUGGCCUGUCAGGGAGAGGGUGGGGAGAAUUCCAGUUGGGAGUGGUUGAACCAGAUGUCCAGGGUCUGGUCAAAGUCUAAGAUUCUGAAAUGUUAUUGAGGGUCAUAAUGCUGCUUGGAAUAGAAAUUGGUCAAGGUAGAGAUUCAAAGUCAAGUUUAAGGCCAGUGUUAACACUGGCUUGAUCUUAGAGUUAAGGCGCAGGUCAGUCUUUCCUAAUGGAACGGAUCAUAGCUGCUGACUUUUCUCCAUUCUAAACUGAGGAGUAACCAUCAACUGCUUGACUUCUGGAGAUUGUCCUUCCUUCCUUCGCAGAACUUUAGCGCUGGGAAAGGAAAGUUGUCGGGGAGAGGCACACAAGGAGCCCAGAGUCUUCAACCUGUUGGGCACCCCUCAUCCAAUUUACUCUUACUGCUUUGAAGAAUACACAGCGCACACACACCCAAAUCUCACCCCCUUGAAGCCUUCCCUGAUUACAUUAAAAUCUCUUAUCUGGACAUCUGGAGCGCUUAGAAAAUAAUACAGCUCCACAUGGCAUAUGUAUUGUAAUCUGUCCUUUACAUCAAGAAUGGACUGAGACCUGUGUUGCCAGUGAAGGCAGGUGAAUGAUCUGGUGCUUUUUUUCCAGGCCAGGAGUGCAAGCUGCUUCUCCUUGGCCUGCUAGGGAGGAGUAGGGGUGACUGACUAAACAUUUACUUAACCAGCAUUGCAGGAGUCCGGGGUAGAAGGUCCACUCACAUCAGCCUGCAUUGAGGCUGCACCUCCUUUGUGACCCUAAACCUAAUGCCUCACUCUGCCCUUAACAAAAGCCCCUUCCUCAGCAGUUUGUCACGUCCUUCAGGGGUUUCAGUCUCUGUGCAAGGGGCCUAAUCAAAGUAUUUUUUCCCUAACCACAUACCUUUCUAUUAUAUACAGUUUUCUUUAUGUUUUUUAUUUCCAGUGAUGUUGUACAUCCAUUAUGGAUUGUGGGUCCCCUUCUGUCUGCCUUGUCCUUUAAAUGGACUGUUUUACAUGCUGGCUGUGUCUUGUCUAUUAGCCAGAGCUAAGUUCCUGGAGGGCAUUUUCCCCAUCUAAUACUUCUGGGGAGCCUCUUAUGCUAGGUGUUUAAAAAGCCUGUGUUUAAGCACUGGGCUUGGGGGCCCUGGAGGGUGGAGCGAAGAGAUGGUUUGACCAUCUGGUGGAAAUGGUUUGACCAUUUGGUAGAAAUAAAAGCCACCCAUCCUCAAAGACCUUAGAGUCUAACUCAUGUAGGAGGCCAGGCAGAUACCAAGCAAUGGACCUUAUCAAGAAGGCAGACUCAUAGGCAUAUGGUCCAGUUUGAAGCUGGGUGUAGAUGAUGGAGGGGCAGAGGUGGAGAUAAGUCAUAGAUGAUGUUGCCUUUAUCUGACUAUCUAUGUGUGACUCUCUCCCUAGUUUUUAAAAGUUGAUUUAUUUUAAAAUAAAUUCUGUGGAUUUUGCUUUCUUGCUUUGACUUGGAAACUCCCUGGUAAAAAAGGACUCGAUGGUGUUUGUCUCUCUGACUGUCUCUCUGUCUCUUUGACUGUUUGUUCUGUCUCUGUCUGUGUCUGUGUCUCCUGAUCCAAGCUGGAUCAGUGAUUGGAUCCUCAGUGUGGUCUGGAUUCCGGAGUCCACGCCUUAACCAGGAGUCUGAAUACUGUUCAUUCAUUCAUUUCAUUCCACAUACCUGGAAUUGAAGUCUGAAACGCAAAUAACAUGCAAAUCUGUGGCUCCUUGGCACUUUUUAAAACCAGACCUGUCUGUGGAGCCAGCCAGAGAGCCCUCCUGAGCCAAACACACCAGUCGGGAUUUCCAACCCACCCUGGAUACCUAACAGCAUCCCUUGUCUCCUUGCCCCCUCCCACACCCCUUUCUCCUCACCAUCUAACCUCCAGGAAGUGCUUCCGCUGGUCUACCUGUAAAACUCGCACUCCACAGAAUAAAACAAGAAAGCACCAACUUCUGAUAAAUCUUCCACUAUCCUGGUGAAACAGUUUUAUCUGUGUUGAGUUAGAAGAGCUGCUUGUCGUCUCCAGGACAUUCUUUUUUUUUUUUCAAUAAAUUUAUUUAUUUGUUU